rnacentral:rRNA from 1 species
UUAAGCGACUAAGCGUACACGGUGGAUGCCCUGGCAGUCAGAGGCGAUGAAGGACGUGCUAAUCUGCGAUAAGCGUCGGUAAGGUGAUAUGAACCGUUAUAACCGGCGAUUUCCGAAUGGGGAAACCCAGUGUGAUUCGUCACACUAUCAUUAACUGAAUCCAUAGGUUAAUGAGGCGAACCGGGGGAACUGAAACAUCUAAGUACCCCGAGGAAAAGAAAUCAACCGAGAUUCCCCCAGUAGCGGCGAGCGAACGGGGAGCAGCCCAGAGCCUGAAUCAGUGUGUGUGUUAGUGGAAGCGUCUGGAAAGGCGCGCGAUACAGGGUGACAGCCCCGUACACAAAAAUGCACAUACUGUGAGCUCGAUGAGUAGGGCGGGACACGUGGUAUCCUGUCUGAAUAUGGGGGGACCAUCCUCCAAGGCUAAAUACUCCUGACUGACCGAUAGUGAACCAGUACCGUGAGGGAAAGGCGAAAAGAACCCCGGCGAGGGGAGUGAAAAAGAACCUGAAACCGUGUACGUACAAGCAGUGGGAGCACGCUUAGGCGUGUGACUGCGUACCUUUUGUAUAAUGGGUCAGCGACUUAUAUUCUGUAGCAAGGUUAACCGAAUAGGGGAGCCGAAGGGAAACCGAGUCUUAACUGGGCGUUAAGUUGCAGGGUAUAGACCCGAAACCCGGUGAUCUAGCCAUGGGCAGGUUGAAGGUUGGGUAACACUAACUGGAGGACCGAACCGACUAAUGUUGAAAAAUUAGCGGAUGACUUGUGGCUGGGGGUGAAAGGCCAAUCAAACCGGGAGAUAGCUGGUUCUCCCCGAAAGCUAUUUAGGUAGCGCCUCGUGAAUUCAUCUCCGGGGGUAGAGCACUGUUUCGGCAAGGGGGUCAUCCCGACUUACCAACCCGAUGCAAACUGCGAAUACCGGAGAAUGUUAUCACGGGAGACACACGGCGGGUGCUAACGUCCGUCGUGAAGAGGGAAACAACCCAGACCGCCAGCUAAGGUCCCAAAGUCAUGGUUAAGUGGGAAACGAUGUGGGAAGGCCCAGACAGCCAGGAUGUUGGCUUAGAAGCAGCCAUCAUUUAAAGAAAGCGUAAUAGCUCACUGGUCGAGUCGGCCUGCGCGGAAGAUGUAACGGGGCUAAACCAUGCACCGAAGCUGCGGCAGCGACGCUUAUGCGUUGUUGGGUAGGGGAGCGUUCUGUAAGCCUGCGAAGGUGUGCUGUGAGGCAUGCUGGAGGUAUCAGAAGUGCGAAUGCUGACAUAAGUAACGAUAAAGCGGGUGAAAAGCCCGCUCGCCGGAAGACCAAGGGUUCCUGUCCAACGUUAAUCGGGGCAGGGUGAGUCGACCCCUAAGGCGAGGCCGAAAGGCGUAGUCGAUGGGAAACAGGUUAAUAUUCCUGUACUUGGUGUUACUGCGAAGGGGGGACGGAGAAGGCUAUGUUGGCCGGGCGACGGUUGUCCCGGUUUAAGCGUGUAGGCUGGUUUUCCAGGCAAAUCCGGAAAAUCAAGGCUGAGGCGUGAUGACGAGGCACUACGGUGCUGAAGCAACAAAUGCCCUGCUUCCAGGAAAAGCCUCUAAGCAUCAGGUAACAUCAAAUCGUACCCCAAACCGACACAGGUGGUCAGGUAGAGAAUACCAAGGCGCUUGAGAGAACUCGGGUGAAGGAACUAGGCAAAAUGGUGCCGUAACUUCGGGAGAAGGCACGCUGAUAUGUAGGUGAAGUCCCUCGCGGAUGGAGCUGAAAUCAGUCGAAGAUACCAGCUGGCUGCAACUGUUUAUUAAAAACACAGCACUGUGCAAACACGAAAGUGGACGUAUACGGUGUGACGCCUGCCCGGUGCCGGAAGGUUAAUUGAUGGGGUCAGCGCAAGCGAAGCUCUUGAUCGAAGCCCCGGUAAACGGCGGCCGUAACUAUAACGGUCCUAAGGUAGCGAAAUUCCUUGUCGGGUAAGUUCCGACCUGCANCGACUUGCUCGUGGAGCUGAAAUCAGUCGAAGAUACCAGCUGGCUGCAACUGUUUAUUAAAAACACAGCACUGUGCAAACACGAAAGUGGACGUAUACGGUGUGACGCCUGCCCGGUGCCGGAAGGUUAAUUGAUGGGGUCAGCGCAAGCGAAGCUCUUGAUCGAAGCCCCGGUAAACGGCGGCCGUAACUAUAACGGUCCUAAGGUAGCGAAAUUCCUUGUCGGGUAAGUUCCGACCUGCACGAAUGGCGUAAUGAUGGCCAGGCUGUCUCCACCCGAGACNAAUUCCUUGUCGGGUAAGUUCCGACCUGCACGAAUGGCGUAAUGAUGGCCAGGCUGUCUCCACCCGAGACUCAGUGAAAUUGA